GACAGAGGGGGCAAGCGUUGUCCGGAUUGACUGGGCGUACAGCGCGCGCAGGCGGCCGGGAAGGUGCCGUGUGACAGGCGCCGGCUUAACCGGCGACGGCCACGGUAGACCGUCCGGCUGGAGGCAGGGAGAGGGAUGUGGAAUACCCGGUGGAGCGGUGAAAUGCGUAGAGAUCGGGUGGAACACCAGCGGCGCAGGCGGCAUCCUGGCCCUGUACUGACGCUGAGGCGCGAGAGCGUGGGGAGCGAACUGG
rnacentral:rRNA from 1 species